CCAUGCCGCGUGAGUGAAGAAGGCCUUCGGGUUGUAAAGCUCUUUCGGCCGGGAAGAAAUCGUAUCAGCUAAUACCUGGUGCGGAUGACGGUACCGGCAUAAGAAGCACCGGCUAACUACGUGCCAGCAGCCGCGGUAAUACGUAGGGUGCGAGCGUUAAUCGGAAUUACUGGGCGUAAAGCGUGCGCAGGCGGUUUUGUAAGACAGGCGUGAAAUCCCCGGGCUCAACCUGGGAACUGCGUUUGUGACUGCAAGGCUAGAGUACGGCAGAGGGGGGUGGAAUUCCACGUGUAGCAGUGAAAUGCGUAGAGAUGUGGAGGAACACCAAUGGCGAAGGCAGCCCCCUGGGUCGAUACUGACGCUCAUGCACGAAAGCGUGGGUAGCAAACAGGAUUAGAUACCCUGGUAGUCCACGCCCUAAACGAUGUCAACUAGGUGUUGGGUGGGUAAAACCAUUUAGUACCGGAGCUAACGCGUGAAGUUGACCGCCUGGGGAGUACGGCCGCAAGGUUAAAACUCAAAGGAAUUGACGGG
rnacentral:rRNA from 1 species